rnacentral:rRNA from 1 species
GAGUUUGAUCAUGGCUCAGGAUGAACGCUGACAGAAUGCUUAACACAUGCAAGUCUACUUGAUCCUUCGGGUGAAGGUGGCGGACGGGUGAGUAACGCGUAAAGAACUUGCCUUACAGACUGGGACAACAUUUGGAAACGAAUGCUAAUACCGGAUAUUAUGAUUGGGUCGCAUGAUCUGGUUAUGAAAGCUAUAUGCGCUGUGAGAGAGCUUUGCGUCCCAUUAGUUAGUUGGUGAGGUAACGGCUCACCAAGACGAUGAUGGGUAGCCGGCCUGAGAGGGUGAACGGCCACAAGGGGACUGAGACACGGCCCUUACUCCUACGGGAGGCAGCAGUGGGGAAUAUUGGACAAUGGACCAAAAGUCUGAUCCAGCAAUUCUGUGUGCACGAUGAAGUUUUUCGGAAUGUAAAGUGCUUUCAGUUGGGAAGAAGUCAGUGACGGUACCAACAGAAGAAGCGACGGCUAAAUACGUGCCAGCAGCCGCGGUAAUACGUAUGUCGCAAGCGUUAUCCGGAUUUAUUGGGCGUAAAGCGCGUCUAGGCGGCUUAGUAAGUCUGAUGUGAAAAUGCGGGGCUCAACCCCGUAUUGCGUUGGAAACUGCUAAACUAGAGUACUGGAGAGGUAGGCGGAACUACAAGUGUAGAGGUGAAAUUCGUAGAUAUUUGUAGGAAUGCCGAUGGGGAAGCCAGCCUACUGGACAGAUACUGACGCUAAAGCGCGAAAGCGUGGGUAGCAAACAGGAUUAGAUACCCUGGUAGUCCACGCCGUAAACGAUGAUUACUAGGUGUUGGGGGUCGAACCUCAGCGCCCAAGCUAACGCGAUAAGUAAUCCGCCUGGGGAGUACGUACGCAAGUAUGAAACUCAAAGGAAUUGACGGGGACCCGCACAAGCGGUGGAGCAUGUGGUUUAAUUCGACGCAACGCGAGGAACCUUACCAGCGUUUGACAUCCCAAGAA